rnacentral:rRNA from 1 species
GACGAACCGUGCGAACGUUGUUCGGAUUCACUGGGCUUAAAGGGCGCGUAGGCGGGCUGGCAAGUCAGGGGUGAAAUCCUCCGGCUCAACCGGAGAACAGCCUUUGAUACUGCUAGUCUAGAGGAAGGUAGGGGCAUGUGGAACUUCCGGUGGAGCGGUGAAAUGCGUAGAUAUCGGAAGGAACGCCGGUGGCGAAAGCGACGUGCUGGACCUUUACUGACGCUGAGGCGCGAAAGCCAGGGGAGCAAACGGG